AUUUCGUUUGAUUUGAUUUGUCCUCGUCCUCUGCACAUGAUGGUAACUUGGAUUUUGCUUGGGCAGGUGCCUUUCUCUCUUGAGGACCCGGAUUACAAGGGUCUUGAGCUAGAUCUGAUAGUGUUGUGCGAGAAGCAUGGGAAGCCAUCAGAGAGGCUUGUUGCGUUUGAAGGAACAAUGACUGGGAGAAGGUUCUUAGCAUGUGCAAAGCCGGAAGGUCAGAAUUGUGGGUUUGUUCAGUGGGUUGAUGAGCAGUGGCCCCCAACAAUGGAGAAUGCAUUGCUGAAGCUUUGGUCAAUGGUUGAAGAGAGCAAGUCUGCUAGGGUGAAUGAUAAUCUUCAAAGUGCUCUAACUAUUCAUCAGUUGACAGAAGAAAAGAACAAGCUGGAUGCAGACUAUGACAAGUUAGUGAAAGAUGUGCAUCAACUUGUGGACUUUCAGCAGGAUAGGGUUGUGGAUUUCAGUUAUCUGCAGUCUGCUGUCACAUAUCAGCACCAAUGCAGAGCUGAAUUGGUGGCUGGUAUGAAUGCAGAAAUGGCAAAGAAAGAUGCAGCUGCACAGAAGCUUCAACAAAAGUAUGAACUCCUGUGCAACCUGACAAGUGCUCAAGCAACUGUCAUCCAAAACUUGAAGUUGAAGAAUAUGAAAGAGAAGGAAUUGUUGAGUGAGGAUAGGAUGAAUUUGGAGUUGAAGAAUGCAGAGUUCACAAAGUUUGAGGAGAAGCUCACCCAAGAGAAGCUAGAGUUGAAGCUCCAGGUUGCUGAUCUGCUGAAGCUCAAGGAAAACCAUAAUGAAGAGAAGUAG
rnacentral:rRNA from 1 species